GAUCAUUAAACCAAUGAGUGAGGCCAGGGAUAGAACCCAUAUCCUCAUUCACCACUGAGUCAUGAAGGGAACUCCUAUUUCUGCUUUGAUCUUUAUAGUUUCUUUCCUUCUAAUAACUCUAGGUUUAGUUUGUUCUUUUUUUUCUGGUUCCUUUAGGUGUAAGUUUAGAUUAUUGGAAAAAAAUCAUUAGAGUCUAUAGCAAAACAAAACAAAUAUUUCUUUUCCUUUGCCUGAAGAGCCUCUUCAGGGAUACAAUAUAAACUUCCAGAGAUAUUUAAUGAACACUCAAGAAUAUAUGUCAAUCCUCCUGUUCAGCACAAGUGAUACCCACUGCUCUACAUCUUAUUUUUUUCACUCAAUUUUAUAUUAUAGACAUCACCAAAUAGAAAUGCCUUUGUGGUUUUGACAGGAUUCAAUCAAGAGCAUGGCUUUUCCUGACUAGUCUUUUGAACCAACUGAGAUGUGACAACAGUCACCAAGUAGAGAGCCCAAGAACCAGUUUUAACACUGAUGAAGACCAAGUGAGAACAAAAGGGGUUGACAAUUCCCUCCUUCCCAAUGUCAAUCUGAGAACAGCCCAUUGGAGAGAAAAGUGUUUGCAGAGCACACACAGCCCAUAUAGUGCCUCUCUCAUGGCCUGAGUGGAGGCCGAACCACUAAAGACAUCUUCUUGGUAGAUUGGGUUCAUGCAAUUGAGAAACAUGACUCAAUGGCAGUCUCAAACUAUUCAGGAAACUGAAGUAACUAAAGACAGAGAAAUAAAAGGUCACAGGCAGGUCACAGGCAUCUGUGCUAUCAAUUCAGCGCUUCACUUUCCUAAUGGAAUCAAGCUCCCAGAACAGGAAAGUGGCCCAAGGGACAUCAUGCAGCCUCUAAUACCAUCAUGAAGCCUGUUGACCUUCAGACAACUCAUCUACCCAGAACCCGAAACCUUUUGCUUAAACGCAGGAUCUUGUUUGUAGACUCAAACGGCAAGACUCCAAAUCUGGCAAACAGAAACAAAAGGGGCUCUGACAGGAGUGGCUCACAAGUCAAAACACACUAAUGAUUCCUCUGCAUCAUCAUAGAAAUUCUGUUUUGGUGAAAGUUUUCUGAGUGUUUGGUUUCUUUUCAAAUUAGACACAUCUUUUUAAUUUUUCAAAAAAAAUUUAAGAGAAGUGUUGGUUCCUAUUCCAGGAAUUAGUUUGUCUAGCAUGUGAUGCACGCUAGAUCUGACUUUGAAGGUAAUGGUUCUCAUAAAGAAAGUACUCAUAAAUGGUUCUCAUCAAGAAAACAAGAAUAUGUAAAAUAUGGUUGAGUAUUUUGUGUAAAUGGUAGGCAUUGUAAAGGUCAUACUUUUCUAAUCCUAGGCCAUUUCUCAAAAAGUGAAUUACUGGGCAUCAUAGUUAAUCAUUCUCUCUUUUUACCACAAAUUCUACUCUCUCUAUGCACCAGUGAACUGGAAACACAACAAAAAUAAACAGAAUAUUUUGAAAACA
rnacentral:lncRNA from 1 species